rnacentral:tRNA from 4 species
GGGUGAUUAGCUCAGUUGGUUAGAGCGUUUGCUCGACACGCAAAAGGUCAGUGGUUCGAACCCACUAUCACCCA